rnacentral:lncRNA from 1 species
UUGCAGUUCGCGAUUCGCGCUUAGUGCGUUUUCGCGCGGUCUGUAGAUAAGUGUCAGCGAUGGCGCUGAUAGUAUCCUACCCCUCAUCUCUACCCUCGUCGUGUUGAAGUUUCCCCAAAUUUUGAUAGUCGCUAAACCCCCGGUAGUUCGCCCGAAUUUCCGUGGUCCAGUAGUUUUUCAAAGUUGUCGAGAAGUCCCCGAGAAAUUCCCCUUUGUUUGAUCAAAAGAUUCCCGAACGUUAUUUUUUUAGCGAAAAAUUUGUUCAAAGGACUAGUACCUCACGCAGAAAACAAGCGGCGAAUUUUCCCCCUAGCCGAGACGGCACCGGGCACCAGACCUUGCUCACCUGCAUGCCCGGACACAGUAGGCCCUCGUCCAUCCGGUAUACGGGCUUAUUCGGAAGGGGGGUAAAUGAGAAAGGGGGCCAGGGGGGCCAAGGGGGAGGGACUGACUACAAUCAGCACCUCAGUGUGUGAAUCGCCAAUUUCCCAGUUUAGCAGAGGCGGGCUCUCACCGCGUGCCCGGCGCCGGUCCGUGGGACGACCACGUCGGUGAGUUUUCUUGUUUUCCCGAUUUAUAUAGAGAAUUUUCCACCGGUGAUUUGACAAUAAUUGGAAAUAUUUGAUUAGAAUUAGUCUUGCUGCGUCUCGUGUUGCCUACUUUCCACUUUCCACUGUGUUUUAUUUUUUAAAAAAUUGCUUCUGCCUUGUACCUACAUUGUUAAAAAUUUUGGAGUGAAAUUCUGUGCCGGAGUCUAUGUAGCGCCCAAAACCCCGAGAGAUGCCGAUUAUUGACAUUGAUAGACAUAGCUAUAGACAAAGAGGACAAAAAGGGUAUGAAGGGAUCUUAUUGGUGGAAGCAGGGGGUGCGGUGGACAUAGGAGAUACUGCCUUGCCAAGGGAGAACGCCGUAUGAGCCCCCAGACGCUGCCAUAUUUCCUUCAAUUUAUUGCGAAAAUUGUGGUUAUUUUUCUUCAAAUUUUUCAUACUAUUUUAUUCGCACUUUAAUCUGAAAUAUCUGCAAAUUUGAAGGAAAAAGAUUCAUAACUUUCCUCAAAAAUUCAUUACUUGUCCGCGGGAAUUUGGCAACUCUAGAAUGUUCUUAUGGCG